rnacentral:rRNA from 1 species
CCCAAAAGAGGGGGAUAACACUUGGAAACAGGUGCUAAUACCGCAUAACCAUGAACACCGCAUGAUGUUCAUGUAAAAGACGGCUUUUGCUGUCACUUUUGGAUGGGCUGCGGCGUAUUAACUUGUUGGUGGGGUAACGGCCUACCAAGGUGAUGAUACGUAGCCGAACUGAGAGGUUGAUCGGCCACAUUGGGACUGAGACACGGCCCAAACUCCUACGGGAGGCAGCAGUAGGGAAUCUUCCACAAUGGACGAAAGUCUGAUGGAGCAACGCCGCGUGAAUGGAGAAGGCCUUCGGGUCGUAAAAUUCUGUUGUCAGAGAAGAACGUGCGUGAGAGCAACUGUUCACGUAUUGACGGUAUCUGACCAGAAAGCCACGGCUAACUACGUGCCAGCAGCCGCGGUAAUACGUAGGUGGCGAGCGUUGUCCGGAUUUAUUGGGCGUAAAGGGAACGCAGGCGGUCCUUUAAGUCUGAUGUGAAAGCCUUCGGCUUAACCGAAGUAGUGCAUUGGAAACUGGAAGACUUGAGUGCAGAAGAGGAGAGUGGAACUCCAUGUGUAGCGGUGAAAUGCGUAGAUAUAUGGAAGAAGACCAGUGGCGAAAGCGGCUCUCUGGUCUGUAACUGACGCUGAGGUUCGAAAGCGUGGGUAGCAAACAGGAUUAGAUACCCUGGUAGUCCACGCCGUAAACGAUGAGUGCUAAGUGU